AAGGCAAAUUGGCUAAUUGAGCUUUGCUUUUGGCAAAGUUAGGAAAGUCCGGACAUUCAUUUGCUCAACAAAAUAGAGUAAAAUGGUAGCGGGUAAUUCCCGUCUGGAGCAAUCCACGAGGUGCGAGCAGAGACGCUUUUAUUAGAAAUAAUAAAAGUAUCCCUUUGCGGGAUAAGUUCUUAUAGCAAUAUAAGAAGUGAAACGGCUAAAUCCUUACCUGAAUGCAAGGUCGUGUCUUGUUCUACACUAGUAAGAGCAAGAAGUGCCGCUUGAUCUUAAUGGCAACAUUAAGGCUAGAUAAAUAAUUAGCGAAUACAGAAUCCGGCUUAUAGAUUUGCCUUGAUA
rnacentral:RNase_P_RNA from 2 species